CCAUAAAGAACUCUGGUCCUGCCACAUGAAUACAAAAGCAAAGCAAAUGCCUCAACGGUCAUUGUACAAUUCCACUGUAUUUUGAUAUAAUCCAAUAUCUAAGCAAUAGGGAAAACCCUAACUUGAUCAAGAACAGGACCACAAAGGGAUCCAAAAUCAUCAAUUCUAUUAUGGUAGAAUGAACUGUAGAAUGUAAUUCUUGUUCUUGCUGAAAUGGCUUUGAACUUGAAGCUUACAGUCUUGAACCUACCCUUUCCUUGGGACUCAAAUGGAGCCUUAUAGGUGUCCUUCCCAGCAAAUGCCUCCACCAUCAUUGAUCCAUGGCAACCAUUCUUUGCGUCUCCUACAGUGAAUGUGAGAUUAUAGACUUUGUUGGGAAUUGUUCUGAGGAUCUGGGCAAUGGCACUUUCCCUCCCUGCAAGAAGCUCAACUGCAGCAAGUCCAAAAGGAACAUUGAAGUGCUUUGAAUCAAUGAACUUCACAGCUUUAAGUGAUUCAAUGAUCCAACCAGGAAGUGGGGAUGUGAGAUCUUCUUGUUUUGGAGGAAGGAGAACACCAUUGGAAGAGUUGAGAAAGCGAUGAGGACCCUCUUCAAAGCCAGCAUUUUUUACCAAAUUAUCUCUUGUGGGCCUUGGAGGAAAGAGCUCCUUAAUAGCAACAGCAUCAAUGAGUGGUCCACAAGCAGGGUCCUCUUGGACACCACGAUUGUGAAAUAUCACAUUAGCAACAUUAGAUUUAGCCCUAAAUCCCCAAGCAUAAGUGUCACCACCAUUACUACUAUAAAGCGUCUGCAAAGGCAGGUCCCCGGACAAAGGAGGCACAGAGACUCUCAAAACCUCAUCUUGGGCACAAGUUCUUGAUGCACCAAAUGUGAGUGCAUAUAGAGAGCCUGGUUUUACUGGUAUUGUUUGAGAGAUCGAAGCCUCAUUGCCUAGUCUCACAGCAUGAACACCAUGAGCCACAGCAAAAUACAUCCCACCAGGUUGUGGACCAGCAGAGAUGUAUUCCACUAAACCAUUGGUGACCCAGCCAGGUAAUGCGUAUUUUCCUUUGAGUACUGUCUUGUUGAGGUCACUGGGUUUUGGUUUCUGCUCAAAGUUGCCAUUUUUGAGGAAUCCUUCCAUGUAUUUAGCAGCCAAAACAGAUCCAUUGAAGAGCAAGAAGAAAGCAAGCAACAGGGAAACACCCAUUGCCAUUUCUCAAAAGGGAAUGAGCACAAGACAGAAGGAGGAGAAAUGGGAAAUGUUUUC
rnacentral:misc_RNA from 1 species